ensembl:lncRNA
GACUUGACAGAGACCCUGUGGAUUAAUCCAGACGAAGAGGACAGCUUAAGAGGCAAAGCAAGAAGGUUUGCCAAGUUAUCAAGUGAGGAGGAGGAAGUGGAGGAGAUCUCAGUCCACUGACUGUCAGCAACCAUGAGCGGUGGAGCGAAUAUCAAAGUCAUAUCUCAAAGCCAGAGUGACGCUGGUGUCAGCUCGAGUCUGCCUUUGCCGAGAAGCAUGAUGCCUCUCUCCAAGAUGGAUCCCAAACAGCAGUACAGCGCCCAUCCCAAUCCCACAGUGCAGUAUCAGCACCCUGCCAAACCACGGCCUUCAUACUCUUCAUCAUCUGCUUCUUCAGGCCCUGCAGAGCUGCUGAGAGGUACAGCUUUCAAGAACCACCUGCUGCAGCAAAAGACCAGCAUGUUUUCUCAUAGGAGCCCAGCGGUUACAGAGAGAACAGAUGGAACGUGCUCCGCAUACAGCAGCCCUCAGGUGCCAAAGCGGCAAGUCCCACGCUCCAAAGACACAUUAGACCUCAACAACAGCAUGCUGACCCAGAAGGCUUUGAGAGACCUUCAGCUGAGGAGAAACACAAACAAGAACUGGACCUUUGGGAAGUAUCGUGUGAGGAACAUGGACAACGUACAAGAAGGCGAAGCCAUCCACCGGCUCUCAGCUAAUGUUCAGUCAGGCCACGGACGAGGACGUCUGCUUCAUACUAAAGCUGCAAAUGGGAAUGACGUCCCAGGGGUGUCUUCAGCUGGGGUGGAAAACUUCACAAAAGAGAUGAGGAGAUUCUCAGACCAUGCCCUGGCAGCUUCUGAAGGAGAAGUGUUCAGUAACAAAUUAAAGCCUUCUAAUCAAGCAUUCAACAUGCCACGCAGAGGGAGCGAGCCAGGAAAAAUCAGCAUGGCUGCUGUUGCUCCUUUCAGGUUCAG